rnacentral:lncRNA from 1 species
GGGGCAGCGGCGGCUCGCGGCGGCGGCGCUGGAAGUUCCCGAGUUCCAGCGUCGCCAGAAUGGGAAGCAAGCGAAGCCAAAAUGCCCCCGGGGAGCGCGGCCCCGCUGGGGAGGCCCGGCACUUCCACAUCCCCGCCUCGCGACUCCCCCGUAGCCCAGCCCGCUCCCUCGGAGCCAGCCAGGGACCUCGGGGCGCUGCCGGGGGCUUUGGCAUCUGCGCGAGCGAUGGAUAAGAGGAGUGUUGUCAACGGCAGGACGAGCGAUAGAUGGUGAUGCCUGCAACCUAUGGCUGAACUGGAGGUUGUAGAGUACCAGAGCUUCACAAGAAGUGUGAUCAGACUGCAAAUGAUCUCUGCAUAUGACACUGGUUGCAUUUUUUGUCUGCUUCCUUGUUUUUAAUCUAAUACUAAUGUAAAAUGAAGACUGGCACAUGUGGCUCCCUUUUCCCAGGUGAGGCCCUACCACAAGAUUAAAAGAUUGUGAUCAUUCUAGAUGGACUAAUUAGUACUUUUCUCAUGCAGAGGGGAGCAACUUUCUUAACAGAGAUUAAGAAGAAAUCAUAUCUUGAGGAUAUUUUCCCAGGUGGCUAGCUCAGUCUGUUCUGAGGAGAGUGGUGUGUAUGCCUUUCAGUUCAUUCACUGAUGGAUAAUUCUAAUAGUGUAGGACUCUGUAAGAGGACAGGUCAUGACAUAUUUGCAGACACCAGUAUUUCAAAUUCCAGCACACAGAAGGUAAGGUGUUCUUGCUGCUGUAUUCCUCAGUUUUGAAUUUUACCCAUACCAGUAAUCUGAAGAGCACUACUGCUCAGUCAGUUUCUGGCCAGUUGCUCAUUCCAGUGGCCAUAUCCAUGUUACUUUCAACCUCCAAAACAGGACAGCUGCAUCUGCAUUGUCAGCUGGGCCUGCGCUACCCCCUGAGCCAUGCCAAGGGUGGCUUGGGAGAAUGCUGCUUGUCCUGGACCUAGUGCAGGGAUUCUGCUGUCAACAAUUUAACAGUGUAAGCUCUGGGCUUCAAGUCUGCAGCUCUGUGUCCUGGCACCUCUUGCUUUGCUAGCAUAGACACAGCUUUUGCAAAAAACAAAGCUGCCAUUGUGCUUUACUUCUGAAACUGAGAUAUCUUUAUAGUAAGGUAUAGUACAUAAAACACUGAAUACAUUCCACAACAAUGUCCUUUGCUAGGAAGUUCUAGAGGCAGAGAUAAAUCCUAGCUAGUUUGUAAUAAAUGCUAAGACAGCUCAGUUCACUUUUACUCAGCCUCCAAAUUACUUGAGUCUUUAUUUUGUCCACUAAAUAAUGUGAAAAUGCUGAAAUUCUUAAAAUUAUCAUAAAAGCUUCUCAGGGCCACACUAAAGAUCCUUGAAUGAAGAGUUGAUGUGGAGAACAAACUGGAAAAUACAAAGUCUCAAGCUGAUGAGAAGUUGAAAGGAAACAAUGUAACAUUACAAGGAGGUAAACAAAUCAACACCUUUUAGAGAGAUUCACAGUGUAUCUCAAUUAUUGCUACAGUGUUCUGACCUGAUAACUGCCUACAGUUUGUGGUAGUAAAGCGCUGGCUGCAGUUGCUCCCAACAAAUCUAUUUAAAGGUGCUUGAGAGGUGUCACAAAGGACAUCUUACAUCUUAGAAUCAUAUCAUAUCUUGUUGGAAGAGACCAGCAAGGAUAAUCAAAAUCCAACUCCUGGCACUGCAUAGGUCAGCCUCAAAUAUCACAUCAUGCGCCCGAAAUCAUUGUCCAAAUAUUCCUUGAACUCUGUCAGGCUGGUGCUGUGACCACUUUCCUGGGGAGCCUAUUCCAAUGCCCAACCACCAUCUGGGUGAAAAAUUAUUUUCUAUUACCCAACAUAAACCUUCCCUGAAACAACUUCAGGCCAUUCCCUUGGUCCUGUCACCAGAGAGAAGAGAUCAGUGCCUGCCCCUUCCCCUCAUGAGGAAGUUGUAACUGCAGUGAGGUCUCCCCUCAGUCUCCUCCAGGCUGAACAGACCAAGUGCCCUCAGCUGCUCCCCACACAGCUUUCCCUCAACGCCCUUCACCAUCUUUGUUGCCCUCCUUGGACACUCUCGAAUAGUUUAAUGUCUUCUUACAUUGUGGUGCCCAAAACUGCCCCCAGCACUUGAGGUGAGGCUGCCCCAGUGCAGAGCAGAGCAGGACAAUGCCCUCCCUUGCCCAGCUGGUGAUGGGACACCCAGGUCCCUUUCCCUUUCCAUGUCACUGCUUUCCAGUAUCCCAUUCCCUGUUCUCUCUGUACACUCAGGAUUGCCUCAUCCCAGGUACAAAUCCAACACUUGCUUUUGUUAAACACUUGCUUUUGUUUAACAAAAGUUGGGUGAUUGCCCAGUCCUCUAAUUUGUCAGACUUUGUCAGACCUUACUGGGAACAGGAAGACUAGUACAUGGAAAGCAUUGUAAAGAAUCCUCAGUGUUUGGCCAUAAAGCUUCUUGCCACUGGCUUGUUAUCUGGUGAAAAUAUGACAAUUGGGGGGGGGUGGGGGGGGUGGAAGGUGGAACACCCCCUUUUGAAAGAAGUAAUAUAUAACUAAGUCCUUUUCUCAUGGUCCAACAAUAAUAUAAUCUACUAAGAUCUACUAAACAUGCCAGAUGCACUGUUGUUAAGAGAUAUAUGAUACCAAAUGCUUUGUUUAAUUGCUCCAGGAAUAAAGGAACAGCCAGUAUUUUCCAUGCUUGGUAUAAACCAAGACUGUUGUUAUAAGCGAUGAACUGAAUUGGUCAUUGCAUUUUGUAAGAAUGCAAUAUUUGUGCUGCUGCCUUCUUUCUGUGUAUUACCUAAUGCAUUGUAGGAUCUAUAAACCUAAAACACCACCCCACCAUGAAAGGAUUAGUCCAAUGCUAAUGCUGAGGCAUUCACCAGAUGAAGAGCACUAUUAUUUUCAUUUAAAGGAGAUUGCAUUUAAAAAAGAAGUUAGGACACCCCUGUGAUCGUGUGAAUGGGACAGUGGCUUGACAGAGCCAAAGACAAGCACUUUAAAUCUGUUGCUUACAGCCUGUGUGGCAGUGAUUCACCUUGAAGUUUCAUCACUGAAGCUGACAUCUAUUUGGAAAUACAAUUUUAUUUUUUGCUGGUUUUUGGGGAUGUCUUCACAAUUGUAUUCAACUGCUACUGUAAUUGGCAUUUGCAGCUCAAUAUUUAAAACCAAUUUCAUACACUUCCCAUAGAAGUGUAAUAGCAUGUGUAGUAGCAUAGCACUAGUCAUCUCUUGUCAUUAAUUCCUGAAAACACUAUCCACAGUCACUAUUUUUGAAUAACUAUUGUCAACUUUCUGAUUCAUCAUAGUCAUAUAAGACAACCAGCUGCCAGAAAUAGCACUACCAAAUCUAUCCUAAUGCAACUAUUUGGGAGUUUCUGUGCUACUCCACAUUGGAACAACUUGCACAUGUCCCACUGUUCCCUUUGAUGAACUACCUCUGCACACACCUUGUGAAUCCAAGGCCCCCACCUCCCCUCUGCUGCUGUGGCCAAGCAACCCUCAUUUUGUGUAUGGCUACUAUAAAGAAGUCUCAAAACAGUAGCAGAGGUGCUAUGCUCACCUGGCCUUCCCCUGGCUCUCUCUCUUCCAUCUCACCUCGAAGUCCGGUAUCUAUUGUCACCAAGGUAGAUAGCAGACUCCCUAGUAGCCUCUUCAUGCUCAGAUUUACCAUAUAUUUAAACCUUUAUUCACCUAGUUCCCUUGGGGGUAAAGAAGGCAAAGCUUCCUGAAAGACUCCGAGGUUCAUCAACACAACCAGUAGUUAUCUUGCAGGUGGAGAUUUGGCACCGAUACACAAAUGAUACUUAAGCGCAAAAAUGCCUUCAAGGAAGUAGAAAAAAAAAAAAAAAAAAA